GAACGAACUCUGGUAUUGAUUGGUGCUUGCAUCAUGAUUUACAUUUGAGUGAGUGGCGAACUGGUGAGUAACACGUGGGAAACCUGCCCAGAAGCGGGGGAUAACACCUGGAAACAGAUGCUAAUACCGCAUAACAACUUGGACCGCAUGGUCCGAGUUUGAAAGAUGGCUUCGGCUAUCACUUUUGGAUGGUCCCGCGGCGUAUUAGCUAGAUGGUGAGGUAACGGCUCACCAUGGCAAUGAUACGUAGCCGACCUGAGAGGGUAAUCGGCCACAUUGGGACUGAGACACGGCCCAAACUCCUACGGGAGGCAGCAGUAGGGAAUCUUCCACAAUGGACGAAAGUCUGAUGGAGCAACGCCGCGUGAGUGAAGAAGGGUUUCGGCUCGUAAAACUCUGUUGUUAAAGAAGAACAUAUCUGAGAGUAACUGUUCAGGUAUUGACGGUAUUUAACCAGAAAGCCACGGCUAACUACGUGCCAGCAGCCGCGGUAAUACGUAGGUGGCAAGCGUUGUCCGGAUUUAUUGGGCGUAAAGCGAGCGCAGGCGGUUUUUUAAGUCUGAUGUGAAAGCCUUCGGCUCAACCGAAGAAGUGCAUCGGAAACUGGGAAACUUGAGUGCAGAAGAGGACAGUGGAACUCCAUGUGUAGCGGUGAAAUGCGUAGAUAUAUGGAAGAACACCAGUGGCGAAGGCGGCUGUCUGGUCUGUAACUGACGCUGAGGCUCGAAAGUAUGGGUAGCAAACAGGAUUAGAUACCCUGGUAGUCCAUACCGUAAACGAUGAAUGCUAAGUGUUGGAGGGUUUCCGCCCUUCAGUGCUGCAGCUAACGCAUUAAGCAUUCCGCCUGGGGAGUACGGCCGCAAGGCUGAAACUCAAAGGAAUUGACGGGGGCCCGCACAAGCGGUGGAGCAUGUGGUUUAAUUCGAAGCUACGCGAAGAACCUUACCAGGUCUUGACAUACUAUGCAAAUCUAAGAGAUUAGACGUUCCCUUCGGGGACAUGGAUACAGGUGGUGCAUGGUUGUCGUCAGCUCGUGUCGUGAGAUGUUGGGUUAAGUCCCGCAACGAGCGCAACCCUUAUUAUCAGUUGCCAGCAUUAAGUUGGGCACUCUGGUGAGACUGCCGGUGACAAACCGGAGGAAGGUGGGGAUGACGUCAAAUCAUCAUGCCCCUUAUGACCUGGGCUACACACGUGCUACAAUGGAUGGUACAACGAGUUGCGAACUCGCGAGAGUAAGCUAAUCUCUUAAAGCCAUUCUCAGUUCGGAUUGUAGGCUGCAACUCGCCUACAUGAAGUCGGAAUCGCUAGUAAUCGCGGAUCAGCAUGCCGCGGUGAAUACGUUCCCGGG
rnacentral:rRNA from 2 species